rnacentral:rRNA from 1 species
AGAGUUUGAUCAUGGCUCAGGACGAACGCUGGCGGCGCGCCUAACACAUGCAAGUCGAACGGAGCUGAGAGGAGCUUGCUUUCUCAGCUUAGUGGCGAACGGGUGAGUAACGCGUGAGUAACCUGCCCUGGAUGGGGGACAACAGUUGGAAACGACUGCUAAUACCGCAUAAGCCCACGGAUCCGCAUGGAUCUGCGGGAAAAGGAUUUAUUCGCUUCAGGAUGGACUCGCGUCCAAUUAGCUAGUUGGGUGAGGUAACGGCCCACCAAGGCGACGAUUGGUAGCCGGACUGAGAGGUUGAACGGCCACAUUGGGACUGAGACACGGCCCAGACUCCUACGGGAGGCAGCAGUGGGGGAUAUUGCACAAUGGGGAAACCCUGAUGCAGCGACGCCGCGUGGAGGAAGAAGGUUUUCGGAUUGUAAACUCCUGUCGUUAGGGACGAUAAUGACGGUACCUAACAAGAAAGCACCGGCUAACUACGUG